rnacentral:rRNA from 1 species
GACCCCAAAGUGACGGUACCUGCAGAAAAAGCACCGGCUAACUACGUGCCAGCAGCCGCGGUAAUACGUAGGGUGCAAGCGUUGUCCGGAAUUAUUGGGCGUAAAGAGCUCGUAGGCGGUUUGUCGCGUCUGCUGUGAAAACCCGAGGCUCAACCUCGGGCCUGCAGUGGGUACGGGCAGACUAGAGUGCGGUAGGGGAGAUUGGAAUUCCUGGUGUAGCGGUGGAAUGCGCAGAUAUCAGGAGGAACACCAAUGGCGAAGGCAGAUCUCUGGGCCGUAACUGACGCUGAGGAGCGAAAGCAUGGGGAGCGAACAGGAUUAGAUACCCUGGUAGUCCAUGCCGUAAACGUUGGGAACUAGAUGUGGGGACCAUUCCACGGUCUCCGUGUCGCAGCUAACGCAUUAAGUUCCCCGCCUGGGGAGUACGGCCGCAAGGCUAAAACUCAAAGGAAUUGACGGGGGCCCGCACAAGCGGCGGAGCAUGCGGAUUAAUUCGAUGCAACGCGAAGAACCUUACCAAGGCUUGACAUAUAGAGGAAACGUCUGGAAACAGUCGCCCCGCAAGGUCUCUAUACAGGUGGUGCAUGGUUGUCGUCAGCUCGUGUCGUGAGAUGUUGGGUUAAGUCCCGCAACGAGCGCAACCCUCGUCCUAUGUUGCCAGCACGUAAUGGUGGGAACUCAUGGGAUACUGCCGGGGUCAACUCGGAGGAAGGUGGGGAUGACGUCAAAUCAUCAUGCCCCUUAUGUCUUGGGCUUCACGCAUGCUACAAUGGCCGGUACAAAGGGCUGCAAUACCGCAAGGUGGAGCGAAUCCCAAAAAGCCGGUCUCAGUUCGGAUUGAGGUCUGCAACUCGACCUCAUGAAGUCGGAGUCGCUAGUAAUCGCAGAUCAGCAACGCUGCGGUGAAUACGUUCCCGGGCCUUGUACACACCGCCCGUCAAGUCAUGAAAGUCGGUAACACCC